rnacentral:rRNA from 1 species
GAUGAACGCUGGCGGUAUGCUUAACACAUGCAAGUCGAACGGACUCUUCGGAGUUAGUGGCGGACGGGUGAGUAACGCGUGAGAAUCUGGCUUUGGGUUCGGGACAACCACUGGAAACGGUGGCUAAUACCGGAUGUGCCGAGAGGUAAAAGAGAAAUUGCCUGAAGAUGAGCUCGCGUCUGAUUAGCUAGUUGGUGAGGUAAAGGCUCACCAAGGCAGCGAUCAGUAGCUGGUCUGAGAGGAUGACCAGCCACACUGGGACUGGGACACGGCCCAGACUCCUACGGGAGGCAGCAGUGGGGAAUUUUCCGCAAUGGGCGAAAGCCUGACGGAGCAAUACCGCGUGAGGGAAGAAGGCUCUUGGGUUGUAAAGCUCUUUUCUUAGGGAAGAACAAAAUGACGGUACCUAAGGAAUCAGCAUCGGCUAACUCCGUG